rnacentral:rRNA from 1 species
AUUGAACGCUGGCGGCAUGCUUUACACAUGCAAGUCGAACGGUAACAGGGAGCUUGCUCCGCUGACGAGUGGCGAACGGGUGAGUAAUGCGUCGGAACGUGCCGAGUAGUGGGGGAUAACGCAUCGAAAGGUGUGCUAAUACCGCAUACGAACUGAGGUUGAAAGUGGGGACCUUCGGGCCUUACGCUAUUCGAACGGCCGACGUCUGAUUAGCUAGUUGGUGAGGUAAAGGCUCACCAAGGCGACGAUCAGUAGCGGGUCGGAGAGGAUGAUCCGCCACACUGGGACUGAGACACGGCCCAGACUCCUACGGGAGGCAGCAGGGGGGAAUUUUGGACAAUGGGCGCAAGCCUGAUCCAGCCAGGCCGCGUGUCUGAAGAAGGCCUUCGGGUUGUAAAGGACUUUUGUCCGGGAGCAAAUGCUGGUGGCUAACAUCCACCGGAGCUGAGAGUACCGGAAGAAUAAGCACCGGCUAACUACGUGCCAGCAGCCGCCGUAACAC